rnacentral:rRNA from 1 species
GUCUAUUUGAAGUUAUAAAAAGUCUGACCUGCCCMCUGAUAAAGAAAUUUAAGGGCCGCGGUAUUAUGACCGUGCAAAGGUAGCAUAAUCCCUAGGUUUUUAAAUGGGAUCUUGUAUGAAUGGUUGGACAAAGGAAAUUCUGUCUUUGUUAUAAAAUUGAAUUUUACUUUUAAGUGAGAAGGCUUAAAUGGUUUAGAGGGACGAUAAGACCCUAUAAAGCUUUACAUUAUAAUUAUAUUUGAUUAAAUUUAAAAUAAAAAUUUAAUAUAAUUUUUGUUUUAUUGGGGAGAUAAAAGUGUAAGUUAUAAUAACUGCUUAAAAAAGAAACAUUUAUUUAUGGGUAAAUUGGUAGAAGAUCCUGUUUAUAUAGAGUAUAAGAUCAAGUUACUUUAGGGAUAACAGUGUAAUUUUUUUUAAGAGUUCAUAUCGAAAAAAAAGUUUGCAACCUCGAUGUUGAAUUAAAAUUUCUACAUAAUGUAGUUGUUAUGUAAGAAGGUCUGUUCGACCUUU